rfam:Aedes albopictus isolate Foshan contig89145, whole genome shotgun sequence.
UGUUCUGUGGCUUAGUGGGUUAAAGCGCCAGUCUAGCGCAUACGGGGUCGUUGGUACAAAUCCCACCAGAACGU